rnacentral:rRNA from 1 species
AGGACGAACGCUGGCGGCGUGCUUAACACAUGCAAGUCGAGCGGAAAGGCCCUUCGGGGUACUCGAGCGGCGAACGGGUGAGUAACACGUGAGUAAUCUGCCCCUAGCUCUGGGGAUAGCUCCGGGAAACCGGGAUUAAUACCAGAUACGACCACUUUAGACAUCUGCUGUGGUGGAAAGAAUUUCGGCUAGGGAUGAGCUCGCGGCCUAUCAGCUUGUUGGUGAGGUAACGGCUCACCAAGGCGACGACGGGUA